CACCAGACUCCUACGGGAGGCAGCAGUGGGGGAUAUUGCACAAUGGGGGGAACCCUGAUGCAGCGACGCCGCGUGGGUGAAGGAGUGCUUCGGCAUGUAAAGCCCUAUCGGCAGGGAAGAAGCAAGACGGUACCUGACUAAGAAGCCCUGGCUAACUACGUGCCAGCAGCCGCGGUAAUACGUAGGGGGCAAGCGUUAUCCGGAUUCACUGGGUGUAAAGGGAGCGUAGACGGCCAUGCAAGCCUGGAGUGAAAGCCCGGGGCCCAACCCCGGGACUGCUCUGGGAACUGUGCGGCUGGAGUGCGGGAGGGGCAGGCGGAAUUCCUGGUGUAGCGGUGAAAUGCGUAGAUAUCAGGAGGAACACCGGCGGCGAAGGCGGCCUGCUGGACCGCGACUGACGUUGAGGCUCGAAAGCGUGGGGAGCAAACAGGAUUAGAUACCCUAGUAAAG
rnacentral:rRNA from 1 species